UGCCCAAAAAGUUUCAGAAGAUGUCUGCCAGCGAAAAAAAAGGGAUAAAACUUUGAUGAGUGGCUGGUGAAGUAAAACUGUAGACCUAGAACAACAGAAGAAAGAAUGGCAACAUCAGCUCUCAGUCUCACUAAUCAGUUAUGUCGCUUCUCUUCUGAAGUACACUUCUUGUUCAUAAACAAGAAUUUCUCAACACCAAAAUCAACAAGAUUAAUUAGUCAUGUGUGGUCUUACUCUAAAACUACCAGGAUUCCAGCUUUACACUCAGCUAAUGGUUAUAUAAAGGAGGCUAUUGAAGAGGGGGAGGGUAUGGUUGAUAGUGAUAAAGUAAGGGUGUUAAAGCAGAAAAUAGAGGUUCUUGGGAUUAAAUGUGAUGAUUCUUGCUUUCCUGGACAGUACUAUCACUUGCUUUGUCCCAGGUGCAAAGGUGGCAAGACCAUGGAGAGGAGCUUAUCAUUUAAUAUCACCCAAGAUGUGGAUGUUGCAAUGUGGAGAUGUUUCGGGACUGGUUGUGGAUGGACAGGCCAGGCCUUUGCUGAUAGCAGGAUGCCAAUCGCUGGAAUGAACAAAAUUUUUAAAGUUAAGUCCUCCAAGCAAGUAACCCCAGAGAACGUAGUUUUGGAACCAUUGGGUGACAAGCUGAUCGCAUACUUUAGUGAAAGAAUGAUUUCUGAGGAAACUCUGCGGAGAAAUGCUGUUAUGCAGAUGUCCGGUGAUAAGUAUGUUAUUGCUUUUACAUACAGACAAAAUGGGGCGAUUGUUGGUUGCAAAUACCGAACCAUGGAGAAAAGGUUUUGGCAGGAGAAGGACACAAGAAAAUGGUUAUAUGGACUAGAUGACAUAAAUGAAGCCACCGAAAUUAUUAUUGUUGAAGGGGAAAUAGAUAAGCUUUCAGUGGAGGAAGCUGGAUUCCGUAAUUGUGUUAGUGUUCCUGGUGGCGCACCACAAAUAGUUUCUGCAAAAGAUUUACCAUCCAUACAGAAGUUUGUUUUGUGUAUCAAUGCAUGUGUGAAGCUAGGACAGAGCGUAUCAGUAUCUAUGGAACAGCAAAGAGUACUUGGAUAAACUAUCUCGCAUUGUCCUGGCAACUGAUGGCGACACAAGUGGGCGAUCGUUGGCUGAAGAGCUAGCACGCCGGCUGGGAAAAGAAAGAUGUUGGUUGGUACGUUGGCCGAAGAAAGAUGACUCACGGUGCUUCAAAGAUGCAAAUGAGGUUCUGAAGUGUUUGGGACCAGCUGCAUUGAAGGAAGUAAUUCAAACUGCAGAAAAAUAUGAGGCUUGUCGGCUACAUCGUCUGAAUUAGAUUGGAAAUGGUUGAGGAUCAAGGACAAAUAGUUUCAAAUCUUAAAGUUGGUGUUCUCCAAAGCCUACCCGCCGAAGAAAACCAUCUGCAGACAAGAAGACAGAAUCCCUUUGCACAAUUUCUUCUUCUUUACUUGGAAAGUGCACUUUUCUUUGCACCAGCACAGAAUGUUAUGCUACGAGUCCUGAAGCUGUGUUUGGUGCUAAACACCAGGAAGAAGAAAGCCCUGAGGCAUCAUGAUGCAGAUACAAGGUCACCUGUGAUGAGAUGCCACAUGUGGAAAUUUAUAUGUAACAUGAAGAUUUUCACUCUAACUAGAUCUGGUUUAGCUGCUGGCAGUGUGGUUGAGUUCCACUUUGGAGAGCAUGUCCUUUUGGGGUUUGCAUGUAUUUUCUCUUGAAGACAAAAUUGAUAAAACCAAUUAGAUAUUUGACAAAAAAAACUCCUUUUG